GAGCGUUAUCCGGANUUUAUUGGGUUUAAAGGGGAGCGUAGGNGGANGNUUAAGUCAGUUGUGAAAGUUUGCGGCUCAACCGUAAAAUUGCAGUUGAUACUGGGUGUCUUGAGUGCAGUUGAGGCAGGCGGAAUUCGUGGUGUAGCGGUGAAAUGCUUAGAUAUCACGAAGAACUCCGAUUGCGAAGGCAGCCUGCUNNNCUGNAACUGACRYUGANGCUCGAAAGUGNGGGUAUCAAACAGGAUUAGAUACCCUGGUAGUCCACACNGUAAACGAUGAAUACUCGCUGUUUGCGAUAUACAGCAAGCGGCCAAGCGAAAGCGUUAAGUAUUCCACCUGGGGAGUACGCCGGCAACGGUGAAACUCAAAGGAAUUGACGGGGGCCCGCACAAGCGGAGGAACAUGUGGUUUAAUUCGAUGAUACGCGAGGAACCUUACCCGGGCUUAAAUUGCAGAUGAAU
rnacentral:rRNA from 1 species